rnacentral:rRNA from 1 species
AUACGGAGGGUCCAAGCGUUAUCCGGAAUCAUUGGGUUUAAAGGGUCCGUAGGCGGGCAAUUAAGUCAGAGGUGAAAUCCCACAGCUCAACUGUGGAACUGCCUUUGAUACUGGUUGUCUUGAAUUAUAGUGAAGUAGAUAGAAUAUGUAGUGUAGCGGUGAAAUGCAUAGAUAUUACUUAGAAUACCGAUUGCGAAGGCAGUCUACUACGUAUAUACUGACGCUGAGGGACGAAAGCGUGGGGAGCAAACAGAAUUAGAAACCCUAGUAGUCC